rnacentral:rRNA from 1 species
UACGUAGGGGGCGAGCGUUAUCCGGAUUUACUGGGUGUAAAGGGAGCGUAGGUGGUGAAGCAAGUCAGAUGUGAAAGCCCGGGGCUUAACUCCGGGACUGCAUUUGAAACUGUUUUGCUGGAGUGCAGGAGAGGUAAGUGGAAUUCCUAGUGUAGCGGUGAAAUGCGUAGAUAUUAGGAGGAACACCAGUGGCGAAGGCGGCUUACUGGACUGCAACUGACACUGAGGCUCGAAAGCGUGGGGAGCAAAC